UACAGAGGGUGCGAGCGUUAAUCGGAAUUACUGGGCGUAAAGGGCGUGUAGGUGGAUUUAUAAGUUUGAUGUGAAAGCCCCGGGCUUAACCUGGGAAUUGCGUUGAAGACUGUAAGACUAGAGUUGGACAGAGGGUAGUGGAAUUUCCGGUGUAGCGGUGAAAUGCGUAGAGAUCGGAAAGAACACCCGUGGCGAAGGCGGCUACCUGGGUUCAAACUGACACUGAGGCGCGAAAGCGUGGGGAGCGAACAGG
rnacentral:rRNA from 1 species